rnacentral:rRNA from 1 species
AUGAACGCUGGCGGCGUGUCUUAGGCAUGCAAGUCGAACGGUCACGUGUAGCAAUAUAUGUGAUAGUGGCAAACGGGUGCGUAACACAUUGGUAACCUACCCCGCAGUUCGGAACAACGAGUCGAAAGAUUCGCUAAUACCGGAUGUGGUUUCCGAAUACUUUUCGGAGCAGAAAGUCGUAAGACGCUGUGGGAGGGGCCUAUGGUCCAUCAGGUAGUUGGUAGGGUAAUGGCCUACCAAGCCUAUGACGGAUAGCGGGAUUGAGAGAUCGACCCGCCUCACUGGGACUGAGACACUGCCCAGACUUCUACGGAAGGCUGCAGUCGAGAAUCUUCCCCAAUGGCCGAAAGGCUGAGGGAGCGACGCCGCGUGCAGGAAGAAUCCCUUCGGGGUGUAAACUGCUUUUCUUUGGGAACAACUCUGAGUGUACCAAAGGAAUAAGGGGCUGCUAACUUCGU